rnacentral:rRNA from 1 species
AGAGUAAAGAUUUAUCGCUUCGUGAUCGGCCUGCGGAAUAUCAGCUAGUUGGCGGUGUAAUAGACCACCAAGGCUAUGACGUUUAGGAGAGGUGAGAGCCUGACCUCCACCGAUGGGACUGCGACACGGCCCAUACACCUACGGGUGGCUGCAGUCGAGAAUCUUCCACAAUGGACGAAAGUCUGAUGGAGCGACGCCGCGUGACUGAUGAAGUCUUUCGGGAUGUAAAGGUCUUUUAUGAGGGAUGACAUUGCGACAGUACCUCAUGAAUAAGGGGUUGCUAAACUCGUGCCAGCAGCAGCGGUAAUACGAGUACCCCAAGCGUUAUCCGGAAUUACUGGGCGUAAAGAGUGCGUAGGCGGCGAUGUUAGUCUUCUGUUUAAUCCUUCGGCUCAACCGAAGAACCGCAGAGGAAACGGCAUAACUGGAGUGUGUGAGAGGUUUGCGGAACUCAUGGUGUAGGGGUGAAAUCCGUUGAUAUCAUGGGGAACACCAAAUGCGAAGGCAGCAAACUGGUACAUUACUGACGCUGAGGCACGAAAGCGUGGGUAGCGAAUGGGAUUAGAUACCCCAGUAGUCCACGCCCUAAACUUUGUUCUCUCGCUUUUCGGAGUAUCGACCCUCUGAGAGGCUAAGCUAACGCGUUAAGAGAACCGCCUGGGAAGUACGAUCGCAAGAUUAAAACUCAAAGGAAUAGACGGGGACUUGCACAAGCGGUGGAUUAUGUGGUUUAAUUCGAUGGUACACGAAAAACCUUACCAGGGUUAGAUAUCCUAUAGAAAGACCUAGGAAACUAGGUAACUCCGCAAGGACUGUAGGACAGGUGAUGCAUGGCCGUCGUCAGUUCGUGGUUUGAACUGUUCCCUUCAGUGGGGUAACGAACGCAACCCUUGUCGUCUGUUACAAGUGUCAGGCGAGACUGCCCAGCCCUAUAUUCGGGAAAUUGUACGUUUAAGAAAACGUAAAUUUCCUGUUUGCAAUAAAGCGAACAGGAUACAAUUUCAUUAGUAUGGGGCUGGGAGGAAGGCGGGGAUGACGCCAGGUCAGCAUGUCCCUUGAUGCCCUGGGCUACACACAUAAUACAAUGGGAGAUACAACGGGCAGCGACACAGUAAUGUUGAGCUAAUCCUUCAAAAUCUCCCCCAGUUCGGAUUGAGGUCUGCAACUCGACCUCAUGAAGUCGGAAUCGCUAGUAAUCGCGGGUCAGCCAAACCGCGGUGAAUACGUUCUCAAGUCUUGUACUCACCGCCCGUCAACUCAAGGGAGCCGGGAAUACCCGAAGUCUCACCUCGCGUGGGCCGAAGGUAAGUUCGGUAACAGGGAGUAAGUCGUAACAAGGCACGGGUAGCGGAAGCUGCUCGUG